rnacentral:misc_RNA from 1 species
UAUUUCCCCAUCAAAGUAGAAACUCUAGAACAAUCCCCAGGAUUUCUUCCAUCCGAUGCUCCUCAUCUCCACUGUCAUCCAUGGAUGAGCACCAAAAGCGUGUGGUGGUAUGUGGUGGCGGCAUCAUCGGGGUGUGCACAGCUUACUUCUUAGCCAAGAAGGGGGCCGCUGUUACGCUUGUGGAGAAAUCGUCGGUGGCAUGCGCGGCGUCCGGGAAGGCCGGAGGGUUCCUCGCUCUAGACUGGUGUGACGGUGGGCCCAUCUCUUCUCUUGCCCGAGCCAGCUUUAAUCUCCAUCGUUCGCUUGCCGAAGAGCUCAACGGCUACGAAUCCUAUGGCUACC